rnacentral:rRNA from 1 species
AUUGAACGCUGGCGGCAGGCCUAGCACAUGCACGUCGAACGCGUGGCGGACGGGUGAGUAAUGUCUGGGAAACUGCCUGAUGGAGGGGGAUCACUACUGGAAACGGUAGCUAAUACCGCAUACCAUCGGAUGUGCCCAGAUGGGAUUAGCUAGUAGGUGGGGUAAAGGCUCACCUAGGCGACGAUCCCUAGCUGGUCUGAGAGGAUGACCAGCCACACUGGAACUGAGACACGGUCCAGACUCCUACGGGAGGCAGGAGUUGGGAAGAUUGCACAAUGGGCGCAAGCCUGACGCAGCCAUGCCGCGGGUAUGAAGAAGGCCUACGGGUUGUAAAGUACUUGAAGCUGGGAGGCGUUACCCGAAGAAGAAGUAUCAGCUCUCUCCGUGCCAGCAGCCGCGGUAAUUC